rnacentral:rRNA from 1 species
GAGACAGUUCGGUCCCUAUCUGCCGUGGGCGCUGGAGAACUGAGGGGGGCUGCUCCUAGUACGAGAGGACCGGAGUGGACGCAUCACUGGUGUUCGGGUUGUCAUGCCAAUGGCACUGCCCGGUAGCUAAAUGCGGAAGAGAUAAGUGCUGAAAGCAUCUAAGCACGAAACUUGCCCCGAGAUGAGUUCUCCCUGACCCUUUAAGGGUCCUGAAGGAACGUUGAAGACGACGACGUUGAUAGGCCGGGUGUGUAAGCGCAGCGAUGCGUUGAGCUAACCGGUACUAAUGAACCGUGAGGCUUAACCUUACAACGCCGAAGGUGUUUUG